rnacentral:lncRNA from 1 species
CUGGUCUCAAACUCCUAGCCUCAAAUGAUCCUCCUGCCUUGGGCUCUUAAAGUGCUGGGAUUAUAGGAGUAAGCCACCGUGCCCGGCCCCUUAGCUUCUCUUUCGAUGAGCUGCUGCUCAUUGCUAGGGAGGAGGGUGGAGAAGGAGGGCAUCACUAUCUAUUGUGAGGAAAAGUUUUAGUUCUGGCAACCAUGAAUAUCUUACUCAGCAAAACAGACUACCAUCUGGAAAUUUAGUUCCUAGACUGACUUUGUGAAUACAGCCCAAUCCAGUUGCCUGAGCUUAGUGGGACAUGACUCAGGCCAGAAUUUGGGUUUUGGAGGUGAGACAGGCUAAAGUGGCCUGAAGAGCCCUGCCUGGGCCAGAACCUGGGUUGGAGGACACAGGAUGCAAAGACAACCUUUGUGGGUUUGGAGAGGCCAAGGCUGAGGAAGUGCCCAGAGCCCACUCUGUAUGCGUGUGUGUGAGUGUGUUGGGGCAUCUGCCCUCAGCAGGGUGGGUGUGUUUGUGUGUGUCAGUAGUGGUCUGUGUGUGACAAACAUCUGCUCUCCGUGUGUGUAUCUGUCUGUAUUUGGGGGAUGGUUAGUGUGAUCGUGUAGUGUAUUGAGGCAACCCAUGCCCACAGUGAUGUGUGAUUUGUCUGUUUUCGUGUGCACGUCGGGUGGUGUGAGUCGCUGUGUGGUAUCUGUCCUCUGUGGUAAGUGUGUGCAUGUGCACAUGCAUGUGUUUGUGUGUGGCGGGGUGGAAUGUGUGACUGAUGGUGUGUAUGGUCUGUGUGGAGAGGAGCAUGUGCACUAAGCGUGUGAGUGUGUGGGGGGGUGUAUGGUUGUGUGGUGCAUUGGGGGAAUGUGCAUCAUCAGUGGUGUGCUGUUUGUAUUUAUGUAUCAGUCAAUGUGUGUGUGUGGUGUGUAAAGGGUGACCAUUCUCUCGUGGGCCCCUGCCUUUUCCACAUCGUGCAGCAUACACACACCGAGGUGCAGCUCUGUGGGCCUUGAGGGUGGUGCAUCAGCAUAAAUCAAGUUUCAUUGCAGCAGGAAGAAGGAAGACCGGGCUGGGCAUGGUGGCUCACACCUGUAAUCCCAGCACUUUUGGAGGCCGAGGCGGGCGGAUCACCUGAGGUCAGGAGUUGAGACCAGCCUGGCCAACGUGGCGAAACCCCAAUUCUACUAAAAAUAAAAAAGUAGGGCGUGGUGGCACAUGCCUGUAAUCCCAGCUACUUGGGAGGCUGAGGUGGGAGAAUCGCUUGAACCUGGAAGGCAGAGGGUGCAGUGAGCUGAGAUCGCAUCAUUGCACUCCAGCCUGGGUGUCAGAGUGAGACCCUGUCUCCAAAAAAAGAAGAAAAAAAAAAGAAAGAAGACUAAGUAUGAAUUAACAGGAGUUAGGAAAGGUUUCCUGGAAAGAAGGACUUCCAAUCUAUGCCUGUGCUCUAUUUGACUGGGAUUUCAGCAAGCAAAGUGUGAUGCUGACACCAGCUAUGCAGAAAGGGCUCUGGAGAGAUGUUCAUAGCAGCACACACCUGUGGCUCUUCUUCGAUUCUGGAGGCUCCAGCGCAGCCAAUGUUGCUUCGUC